GGCGAACCGUGCGAACGUUGUUCGGAAUCACUGGGCUUAAAGGGCGCGUAGGCGGGCCGCAAAGUCAGGGGUGAAAUCCUCCAGCUCAACUGGAGAACUGCUUUUGAUACUGGCGGUCUUGAGUGGGGUAGGGGCAUGCGGAAUUCCGGGUGUAGCGGUGAAAUGCGUAGAUAUCCGGAGGAACACCGGUGGCGAAGGCGGCUUCCUGGACCGACACUGACGCUGAGGCGCGAAAGCUAGGGGAGCAAACGGG
rnacentral:rRNA from 1 species